rnacentral:tRNA from 2 species
GCGAGCAUGGCGGAAUUGGCAGACGCGCUAGACUUAGGAUCUAGUGGGAGACCGUGGGGGUUCAAGUCCCUUUGCUCGCACCA